UACAGAGACUGCAAGCGUUAUUCGGAUUCACUGGGCGUAAAGGGUGCGCAGGCGGUUGGGUGUGUCAGAUGUGAAAUCCCGAGGCUCAACCUCGGAACUGCGUCUGAAACUACUCGACUAGAGUACUGGAGAGGGUAACGGAAUUCACGGUGUAGCAGUGAAAUGCGUAGAUAUCGUGAGGAACACCAGAGGCGAAGGCGGUUACCUGGAGCUUUGCUGACGCUGAUGCGCGAAAGCGUGGGGAGCGAUCCGG
rnacentral:rRNA from 1 species